CCUACGGGUGGCAGCAGUGAGGAAUAUUGGUCAAUGGACGAGAGUCUGAACCAGCCAAGUAGCGUGAAGGAUGACUGCCCUAUGGGUUGUAAACUUCUUUUAUAUGGGAAUAAAAUGUGCCACGUGUGGGGUUUUGUAUGUACCAUAUGAAUAAGGAUCGGCUAACUCCGUGCCAGCAGCCGCGGUAAUACGGAGGAUCCGAGCGUUAUCCGGAUUUAUUGGGGUUAAAGGGAGCGUAGGUGGAUUGUUAAGUCAGUUGUGAAAGUUUGCGGCUCCACCGUAAAAUUGCAGUUGAAACUGGCAGUCUUGCGUACAGUAGAGGUGGGCUGUCUUCGUUGUGUAGCGG
rnacentral:rRNA from 1 species